CAUAUGCCUUUCCAAAGGAAUUUCCUUAUAGGAUGAAUCAUAUAUUAGAAUGUGAAUUCUAUCUUUUAGAACUAAUGGAUUGUUGCUUGAUAGUGUAUCAUCCUUAUAGACCUUUGCUCCAGUAUGUGCAGGACAUGGGCCAAGAAGACAUGUUGCUUCCCUUUGCAUGGAGGAUAGUGAAUGAUACCUACAGAACGGAUCUUUGCCUACCGUAUCCUCCUUUCAUGAUAGCUUUAGCUUGCCUACACGUAGCCUGUGUUGUACAGCAGAAAGAUGCCAGACAGUGGUUUGCUGAGCUUUCUGUGGAUAUGGAAAAGAUUUUGGAAAUAAUCAGGGUUAUUUUAAAACUAUAUGAGCAAUGGAAAAAUUUUGAUGAGAGAAAAGAGAUGGCAACUAUUCUUAGUAAGAUGCCGAAACCAAAACCUCCUCCAAACAGUGAAGGAGAGCAGGGUCCAAAUGGAAGUCAGAACUCUAGCUACAGCCAAUCUUAAAACAUUCCGAAGAAUUCCGUAGUGGACCACUUGGAAAUAAACCAUUGGACAGAUUUCAGUAAUGUCUUCAAUGGAACACAAAUGAAAAUGAAUAGCUUGUUUCUGUCAAGCAUAUUGGGAAGUGAUUUUUAUUUUUGCAAAAUAAGUUUCUUUACCUA